AUUCCAGCUCCAAGAGCGUAUAUUAAAGUUGUUGCAGUUAAAAAGCUCGUAGUUGGAUUUCUGGUCUAAUGCGCCUGGCCCGCUGCCGUUAGGUAUGUGAGUGCCGGUGCGCGUUUACCAUCCUUCCAGAGAACACUUCUACCAUUUAUUUGGACGGAUGUUGUCUUCUGGAUCUUUUACUUUGAAAAAAUUAGAGUGUUUAAAGCAGGCCUUUGCUGUGAAUACAUUAGCAUGGAAUAAUAAUCUAGGACUUCGGUUCUAUUUUGUUGGUUUUGAGAACCAGAGUAAUGAUUAAUAGGGACAGUUGGGGGCAUUCAUAUUUCAUUGUCAGAGGUGAAAUUCUUGGAUUUAUGAAAGAUGAACUUCUGCGAAAGCAUUUGCCAAGGAUGUUUUCAUCG
rnacentral:rRNA from 1 species